rnacentral:rRNA from 1 species
GCUUGUCUCAAAGAUUAAGCCAUGCAUGUCUAAGUAUAAACUGCUUUAUACUGUGAAACUGCGAAUGGCUCAUUAAAUCAGUUAUAGUUUAUUUGAUGGUACUUACUUACUCGGAUAACCGUAGUAAUUCUAGAGCUAAUACAUGCAUCAAACCCCGACUUCUGGAAGGGGUGUAUUUAUUAGAUGGAAACCAAUGCAGGGCAACCUGGAAUAUGGUGAUUCAUAAUAACUCGCGGAUCGGUUUACCGAUGCAUCAUUCAAGUUUCUGCCCUAUCAUGCUCUCGAUGGUAGUGUAUUGGACUACCAUGGCUCUCACGGGUAACGGGGAAUUAGGGUUCGAUUCCGGAGAAGGAGCCUGAGAAACGGCUACUACAUCUAAGGAAGGCAGCAGG